rnacentral:rRNA from 1 species
GAGAGUUAAACAGUACGUGAAAUUGUUGAAAGGGAAACGAUUGAAGCCAGUCGUACCUUCGGGUAAUCAGCCUUUCGGGUGCGAUUAUGUGGAGUGUGAGGAGCUUAAACACCUUCAUGUUUUGCAUAUUCGUACUCUUGGGUGUACUUGCCCGUAUGGUUGGUUAACAUCAAUUUUGGUGGUCAUAAAAUGACUGGAGGAAUGUAGCUUCGAUCUCGUAUUGAAGUGUUAUAGCCUUCGGUAGAUGUGAUGAUCGAGAUUGAGGAUUGCAACGGAUACCCUUCGGGGCUACCUGUCUGAUCUCUGAUCGUUGCUCUGGUGCCGAAAGCUUGCUUACGGUUAUCAAAGUCGAUGGUCAAUAGGUUAGAACGGAUUAAAUUCGUUAAGGAUGUUGACGUAAUGACUUUAAACGA